rnacentral:rRNA from 1 species
CAGCCGCCACGGGAAAACGAAGGGGGCUAGCGUUGCUCGGAAUGACUGGGCGUAAAGGGCGCGUAGGCGGCGAUCAAAGUCAGGCGUGAAAUUCCUGGGCUCAACCUGGGGGCUGCGCUUGAUACUUGGUUGCUUGAGUGGGGAAGAGGGUCGUGGAAUUCCCAGUGUAGAGGUGAAAUUCGUAGAUAUUGGGAAGAACACCGGUGGCGAAGGCGGCGACCUGGUCCUUGACUGACGCUGAGGCGCGAAAGCGUGGGGAGCAAACAGGAUUAGAUACCCCUGUAGUCCCUGUCUCUUAUAC